rnacentral:rRNA from 1 species
GACGAACGCUGGCGGCGUGCUUAACACAUGCAAGUCGAACGAGACCUUCGGUUCUAGUGGCGCACGGGUGCGUAACGCGUGGGAACCUGCCCUUAGGUUCGGAAUAACUCCCCGAAAGGGGUGCUAAUACCGGAUAAUGUCUUCGGACCAAAGAUUUAUCGCCUUUGGAUGGGCCCGCGUUGGAUUAGCUAGUUGGUAGGGUAAAAGCCUACCAAGGCGACGAUCCAUAGCUGGUCUGAGAGGAUGAUCAGCCACACUGGGACUGAGACACGGCCCAGACUCCUACGGGAGGCAGCAGUGGGGAAUAUUGGACAAUGGGCGAAAGCCUGAUCCAGCAAUGCCGCGUGAGUGAUGAAGGCCUUAGGGUUGUAAAGCUCUUUUACCCGGGAUGAUAAUGACAGUACCGGGAGAAUAAGCUCCGGCUAACUCCGUG